rnacentral:rRNA from 1 species
UACGUAGGGGGCGAGCGUUGUCCGGAUUUAUUGGGCGUAAAGAGCGUGUAGGCGGCCAGGUAGGUCUGCUGUGAAAACUCGAGGCUCAACCUCGAGACGUCGGCGGAAACCAUCUGGCUAGAGUCCGGAAGAGGAGAGUGGAAUUCCUGGUGUAGCGGUGAAAUGCGCAGAUAUCAGGAAGAACACCCGUGGCGAAGGCGGCUCUCUGGGACGGUACUGACGCUGGGACGCGAAGGCGUGGGGAGCGAACAGG